rnacentral:rRNA from 1 species
GACGAACGUUGGCGGCGUGCUUAAUACAUGCAAGUCAACUGAAGCACCGGUAGUAAUACUGGUGUGGAGGUGGCGCACGGGUGAGUAACACGUAGGUAAUCUGCCUUCAGGUCUGACAUAACUCCGAGAAAUCGAAGCUAAUAUCAGAUGAUGCAGCGGCUUGACAUCAAGACAGUUGUUAAAGCUUCGGCGCCUGGAGAUGAGCCUGCGCUGAUUAGCUAGUUGGCGGGU